rnacentral:tRNA from 1 species
GACCACGUAGCUCAUCAGUUGGUAGAGCAUUGGGCUAGUAUUCCAAAGGUCGUAGGUUCGAUUCCCAUCGUGGUCA